AAUCUUUAUAAUAUUCCGGUUAGCAUCUGAUUUCUCUCACUUUUUAAAAACAGAUUGGAACUGAUAUUGCAAUCUAACAUGAUGUCAAAGUCCUGCAGAGGUUCAAAUCUGAGUUUUUUGAAAUACUGCUUUUGAAAUGCAAGAAUCUGCAAUAUGGAAAAUUUUUGGAAAGUGGUGAAUCAAUUUUAUUUCAUCAUGAAAAUUAGAUUAUGCCUUCUAUAUUUCCCUUAAAGACUUUCAUUUUGAUUCAUAUAUCAGAUAAUUACCAUAACUAGAACUACUGGGCUAUUAAGACACAUGAUGCACACUGCCAUUUUAAAUACCAUGUGCUACUUCCCCACUUAAAAGACUGUCCAAAAAAAAGGGGGGAUACUAUUGUUUUCUGAGCAAAAAGUAUUGAAAAAGAUUAGUUCACAGCACCAGGCUUUUAUUUUUCUUAGCUUCACUUUCAGGGCGCUGAAGAAGGGGAACGGAAUCUUGGGAUAAAUAACUCAGUGGUCAGUGAAUGGGUUAAAAAAGAAAUCCGAUACAAACUUUCCUGUUGUGGAUAUCAGAUUACAUUUCCUCCAUCCUGAACUGGCCUAAUUUUUUAUCAUCUAUGCUUCCAAUUCUCAAGGGAAAAGACGUAAGUGCUUUAUUUUUAAUGUAAAGCCCAUGCGGUCAGUGGGUAUAAGAUUGAAAUUUUUGCCAAGGUCCCUGAUAAAUGUCCACUGACACUGUCAAAGAUACAAGAAAUUUGAGCUGCGUUUUCCUUUUAUUUUUGUUGUGGCAUUUUCAAAUCCACUCCUGCCUUUCAAAACAUUGUUCCCUGAAGCUCUUUUUGGAUAAUACAGCGUGGAUGCAUGCAUAUCAUAGAUAAUAUUCCCAGCUCACUGAGCAUCAAGGUAUUUGCUUAUUUACUAUGUGUGAAGUAAAGUCGCAGAGUGAAAUGGAUUUCUUAUGCCUCAAGAACAUACUUUCCAUCACAGAUACAGGCCGCAAUAUUCUGGAUCAUGCUGAAACGGUAUGUGUUUUCCCUUUGACAUCCUGUACUGGCAUAGCAAAUAGUUUCUUUAAGUACCACUUGUUCAGUAAGUAUAUCAAAAUUGAAGCCAAAGAAGAUGAAUCAUAUGUGAGGAAAGAGAUCAAGGAGCAGUUUACUUUUAAAAUGUCACUAAAAUGUUUUGUUUUUUUCCUUUCAAAGAAAAUAAUAUUUGACUGCAAUAAUAAGAUAUCUGUACUUUUCAGGGCUUUAUGUAUAGAACUGAUUGCCAACAGAAAUUACUUCAUUUUCAUUUAUUACAUCUGCUUGACAGUAAUUCUUAAGUGUCGAUUGUUUCUAACUCUAAUUUCCAAGACUAUGAUUCAUAUACUUGAGUUAUAUGAAAAGAUAGAAAAAGAUAGAAAUACAUUUCAAAGAAAUGCCUAUCAGUUGCUCAAGAAAACUUCGUAGAAAUGUUUUAAAUUAACCAAUAAAU
rnacentral:lncRNA from 1 species